rnacentral:lncRNA from 1 species
GUGAGUAUUGGUUUUUUGUGGUUCCGCUAAUCUCGCUUGCAACAUUUCAGCCGUGUUUCCUGCCCUUCCAACACUCAGUACAGGGAGCCAGAGUAUGUGCAGAACAAUUAUCCCGAACGGUACCAGAAGCAGGAAAUUAUGUAUUGCCCUAUAUAUGGCAUUCCCUCCCGGAGAGCACACCAUUUAUCACGGCUUUUUAAUCUCCUCCAUGUGCAUUGGAAGAUAAAACAUCUCUGCAAUAUUUCAGUGUUUGGAGAAGAUAAAAGCCCUGCGUACAUUUCCGUUUGUGUCACCCAGUUCCGCUACUGCGUCUAACUGGGUCAGAGUUCAGCAGGGUUUGAUACGCCUUCAGGAAUGUGGCUGUUUAUCUGGAGUUUCUGCGGACCCUCUGAAAAAAAUCACAUAAGUAACCCUACCCGGAAAAGCUGGAAACAUGCAUGUUUCUCUCAAUAUUUCCUUCUCCCAGCACUUCCUCUUUUUAAUGCUAGCCCAGUGUGCCUGGAGACAUUCGCUGAGCUAAGAGUGAAGAAGGCAAAGCCAGAAUUUAGAUCCUUGGACUGGCCGUGGAUGUCCUUUCCCUUAGAGAGGAGCCCCUAACUUCAUGCUGCAGCCCCCAAAUGGAAGCGCUGUCCCCACCUGGUCUGCCCUCAGGAGAGGCCUGAGAAAGAUGCUCUGGAUCCUGGAGAAUGGCCUAUCAGAAACUGUGUUACUCAGAGAAACAUAAGCAACAGGGCAAACCAAUAUAAACAGGAGCCAUACAAACCACAUGGCUCACAUGACUGUGGGGGAAUGCUGAGUCCAAAAUCUGUAGAUCAGGCUGGAAAUUCAAGUAGGAGUUGUCAUUGAGUCUUGAGUCUGAAGGUUGGAAACUCAGGCAGAAUUUCUACACUGUGGUCUAGAGGCAGAAUUCCUUCUUUUUUGGGAAAUCUCAAGUCUUUGUUCUUAAGACCUUCAACUGAUUGAAUGAGGCCCCCCACAUGAUGAGGAGUAAUCUGCUUUAGCUAAAGUCAACUGAUUGUAAAUGUUAAUCACGUCUGAAAAAUACCUUCUCAGUAACGCCUAGCGUAGUGUUUGACCAAACAGCUGGCACCAUAGCCUAGCAAAGGUGACACAUAAAUUUGACCAUCACAGAGACCAAGCACCCU